rnacentral:lncRNA from 1 species
UCCAUAUGGUGAAGAUGGAUUUAGACUAUAUACUUUAUAUGCAAAUAUUCCAGAAGAUGUAACACCUACCUCAAAAAACACUAUAAGCAUGCGACAGUACUACGCCUUUAGACUUCAGCAUAGAAUUGGAGAAGCUCAUACUCUGCUUAAAGUUGGUCGUCUUUUACAGCAAUAUAUAGUUGAUGCAUACGCCUGUAUUGAAGAACACAAGUUACCAUAUAUCAAAAAAAAAAAAAAAAAAAAACAAUUUAGUUUAGUGUAAUUACUUUUCGAAGAAAAAUUUAAUUUGUUUUUGAAACUCCUACUGCAGGUUAUCAUAUAUCAAAAAAAAUCAAAAGAAAUUGCGAGCUGAGUUGUACCAAGGUUUAAAAGAUGCCAUUGUAGCAGGAGACACAUCCCCAGCCUCAAUAGGAAGAAGAUUAGUUCUUCCCUCAAGUUUCACAGGUGGCCCAAGGUAUAUGGUACAAAAUUACCAGGAUGCAAUAGCUAUUUGUCGGUGGGCAGGAUCUCCAGACUUAUUCAUAACAUUUACUUGCAAUUCAAAGUGGCCAGAAAUUGAAAAAUACCUAGAGCUAAUCCCAGGCCAAAAGCCAGAUGACAGACCUGACAUAGUCUCAAGGGUGUUCAAGAUCAAACUCGAACAACUAAUGGAUGAUUUCUGUGAAAAUCAUUACUUUGGAAGAGUAAAGGCUGGUAAGUUGGUUUAUUUUGUUAAUUAACAAUCUUUUAAUCAAUCACUAUGUAUAAUAAUCAAUUCAUAACAAUUGUGCAGUUGUGUACACAAUCGACUUCCAGAAAAGAGGAUUACCCCACGCACAUAUCUUGCUUUGGUUGCACCCACAAGACAAGCCAAAAACAUCUGCAGAUAUUGAUCGCAUAAUUUCAGUUGAACUCCCGGACCCUAAUAACAAAUUGGCAUUUGAUUUUGUAGUUCAAUUCAUAAUACAUGGACCGUGUGGGCCUUGCAUGCAAGAUGGAAAAUGUUCAAAGCACUAUCCGAAAAAAAAACAGCAACGAGACAAAUGUGGACAGAGAUGGAUUUGCAGUAUAUAGGCAAAGAAAAGAUGGAAAAGUUGCCUUCAAAAAUGGUGUACAAGUUGACAAUACAUGGAUAGUACCCCACAAUGUUGACUUGAUAGUUAAAUAUCAAGCACAUAUAAAUGUCGAAUAUUGCAACCAAGGCAGAUUAGUAAAGUAUCUAUUCAAAUAUGUGCACAAAGGCCACGACAAAUCUACCAUUGUGAUUGAAGAAAAUGCAGUCUCAAAUGUAUCACAAGAUACACAAGAGGUGCGUGAAGUUGAUGAAAUCAAAAAUUAUUUGGACUGUCGAUACAUUUCUGCUUCUGAAGCAAGUUGGAGAAUUUUUGAAUUUGAAACCCAUUAUAGAAAUCCAUCAGUUGAAAGGCUUCCAUUCCAUUUAAAAGAUGAACAACCUAUAAUUUUCUAAGAUACUGACGAUCCCAAUGAUGUGGUGAAUAAAGGAGUGAAAGAAACAAAAUUCUUAGAGUGGAUGGAAACAAACAAAAAACAUGAAGAUGCAAGGGAGUUAACAUAUGCAGAAUUCCCUACAAAAUGGGUUUGGAAUAGAGCUAAAAACAAAUGGAAGCGGAGGGAGAAAGGAAUAGCAAUUGGCUGAAUCUACUACGCUCACCCAUCGUCAGGUGAACGUUUCUAUCUACGUCUUCUCCUUAAUCAUGUAAAAGGACCAACUACACAUGAAGAAAUUAAAUUCUACAAUGGAGUUCAGUAUGAUACUUAUAAAGAAACCUGUUAUGCUAGAGGUCUAUUAGAAGAUGAUGCUGAAUGGAACGAAGCAAUAAUAGAAGCAUCAUAUUUCAACCUUCCAAGUCAGCUUAGAGAUUUGUUCACAACCAUUUUUUUAUUUUCAGAAGUAACAAGACCAAUCAAUAUAUGGAAAAACAAUUGGAAAGUGCUAAGCGAUGAUGCAGAGUACAAUGAAAGGAAAAGGCUAAAAAAUCAAUCGCUCACCCUCACAGAAGAACAGAUUAAGAACUAUGCACUAUGUGAAAUAGAAAUAAUUCUGAAUCAGCGAUACAAGUCCCUCAAAGAUUAUGGCCUUCCACAACCAGAUAUGUCAACCCACAGAUUGAGGCAAAACAACAUGAUCAAUGAAGAGCUAGAUUACAAUAGAGAAGAUUUGGAAAAAGAAUUCAAUACCUCACACAAAGAACUAAAUGAAGAUCAAAAAAACGUCUUCAAUUCUAUCAUUGAAGCUGUCGAAAACAAAACAGGUAUGUGAAUUAUAAUAUUCUAUACUAUAAAUGACCAUCUAUUAAAGGUUAUAUAUAUAAAAAAAAAUACCUUACAUUCUCCCAAUGAUGAAAGUAUAUAAACUAAUCAAACCUAAAUGAGUUUACUGAAUAAGUCAGAAUUAAAAUUAGGACUUAUGAUGGUAUACUGACUUACUUUUACUAAAUUGCAUACAGGUGGUUUCUAUUUUGUUUACAGCAGUGGAGGCACAGGGAAAACUUUCCUUUGGAGAACAACAAUGGCCAAAUUAAGAUCUAAAGGAAAAAUAGUACUAGCAGUUGCUUCUUCAGGAAGUGCAUCCCUUCUUCUUCCUGGAGGUAGGACAACGCACUCCAGAUUUAAUAUCCCUCUUAAUGUCGAUGAAUACUCAACAUGCAACAUAACGAAAAGAACAAAAUUAACAAAACUGAUUCAAAAGGCCGACUUGGUUAUAUGGGAUGAAUCCCCAAUGAAUCACAAAUACGUGUUCGAGGCUGUUGAUAAAACUUUUAGGGAUAUUAUGCGCUCGGAAGAUGAAAAUUCAGAAGAAAAAGUGUUUGGUGGAAAAACAGUUGUACUAGGUGGAGACUUCAGGCAAAUCUUACCAGUAGUUGAAAGAGGAUCCCGGGAGGACAUAGUAGCAGCUUCAAUAAGCAAAUCACAUCUUUGGGAGCAUUGCCAAGUAUUCACUUUAAAGAAAAAUAUGCGCCUACCAAAUAAAGACCUAAGCACAGCAAAAGCGGAAUCCAUAAAAGAGUUCAGUGAAUGGGUACUACAACUUGGUGAAGGAAGAUUACCAACAAUACCUGCUAAGGAAGGAGAAGAACCGUCUUUGAUAAAAAUUCCAGAUGAUUUGUUAAUUCAAGGAGAAGAAAACCCAAUUGAACAGAUCGUCGAAACAAUGUAUCCAGACAUUGAAAACAAUUUCAAGGAAGAUGAUUAUCUUAAAGACAGAUGUAUUCUUGCUCCAACAAACAAUUGCGUAGAUGAAAUAAACAAAUUUAUUCUUGACAAAAUCCCAGGUAAUUCAUACAUUUGUAUUAAAAAAAUAAAUUUAUGAACGAUUCAAUAUCAUUUUUGACUCCAUACAUUAUUAAUGGUAUGUCUUCUCACUCGCAGGUUAACGGUUCGAAUAUCUAAGUGCAGACUCGAUCAGCCCAGUUUCAGAGCAAAUUCAAGAUCAGGAUAUCCUUUAUCCAACAGAAUUUCUAAAUACAUUGCAAGUAUCUGGAGUUCCUAAUCAUGCCAUAGAAUUAAAGGUUGGAGUUCCAAUACUGUUAUUGAGAAACACCAAUCCAAGAUCUGGAAUGUGCAAUGGAACCAGACUCAUAGUAACAAAAUUGGGAAAGUUGGUAAUUGAAGGUCAAAUUAUUACCGGCAGCCAUGUUGGAGAAAGGAGAACAAUUCCAAGAAUUGUCAUGACAACAAUGAAUACAAAGUAGGCGUUCAUACUAAGAAGAAGGCAAUUCCCAAUAAAGCUUUGUUUUGCCAUGACAAUUAGCAAAAGCCAAGGACAAACUCUUAAAAACGUCGGAUUGUACUUGCCAGAACCAGUAUUCACACAUGGUCAACUAUAUGUUGCGGCUUCAAGAACAACGUCACGAGAAGGAUUGAAAGUUCUUAUUAAGAAGAAAGAUGACCAACCUAUAGGAUACACAAGGAAUGUGGUAUACCAUGAAAUCUUAAAUGACAUCACUUCAAGUAAGUAUGUUUUAAUAUCAUUAUAAAAUUAACUAUUUCAUUAAUUAUUUAAACUUAUAUGUGUUUUUAAACAGAUACAGAUGAUGAACCAAAAAAUUAUAACGAAGAUGAUGACAUCAUAUAUCGUGAAGACAAUCAACAGUAAGGACAACCAAAAUAUAUAUACUUAUAUAUUAUACAUGGAUGAGUUGUUGUGGGCAGCAUUGUAGUUGGAGUACAUUAUCAACAAUGCUAAUGACUAUUGAAUUCGGUUUGGAUGUUAAGUAUGCUAGUGUCCAAAUAUUGAGGCUAAAAUGCUUGAAUAAUUAGUGCUUGAAAAUAAGUUUCUAAAUCUACAGAAGGUUCAACAUGGUAGAUUUCAGCGACAGAAGUGCUUUGAAUGUACAAAAAACUAAACUGAUAAAAAUUAGGGAAUCUCACAAGUCAUAUCUGCAUUGGAUGAUAUCAUAUCCUGAUAUGCGUUCCACACAAUAUUGGCAUCUUGGACAAUGUGACCAUUUAGUUUUUUUUUCAUUACAGAACAGAAGAGAACAUCGUUUCUUUUUGCGACCGUACUCCUCGCUUCAUUGCAACUAUAUCAAGCAUGCCAUCGACAUUCACAAUUGAAACAGAAUAUUCCCUUCCAAAUUGGACAAAUAGCGUCAGUUUCUUCUUAAUGGACCUAACAUAUUUAUAUAUGUCAAUAUGCAGUCUACAAUAGUUUGCAAACUAAAUUAAAUUCUGCAUUUGGAAUUCAAAUUUGAACUCCUGCAACAACUGAAAAGAGUCCAGACCAACAGCCAAAAAAUAAUGCAAUGGGCCAUCUUAUCAACAAAAAACUCAAAUAGGCCCACAAGAAAAAUUACUAACAAUAUCAAAAUAACAAAUAAAAUCUUACCAUUAAAGUAUCACGUCAACUACUAAAAUCUUAACAAACAAACCUAUGAACCGACCUUAAGAGUUUAAUUGCCUUUAAAAAACAACUAAAUAAAGAAACAUAAUAAUAGUAAACUCUAGCUAAUAACACCACGACACUUAGCAUUAUAAAUACAUGACAUGCGUACAACUAAACCCUAUUCUAUAUUCUACAUACUUCAAUCUCCUUCCUUCUGCUUCUACUUCAGAGAAAAACAAAGGUAUGUCAAUUUAUUAAUGUCUAAACUAAUUAGCUUAUAAAAGUAUGCAGGUACACUUUUCUAAUGGUUUGCUUUUAAUUAUUCCAGCUAUUUACUGUUUGAAUUUAAGGAGUUCGAUUUCUAAAAGAAAAAAAACCCUAAUGUAACCAGUUUAAGGUUUUGGUUUACUACGUUGUUGUUGUACAACUUCGUCUUCCUCUUUACUAAUAUAUAUGACUGCUAUAUGAACAUAGGGAAUAGCUAUGGAUAAAUACAACACAAUCAGUGAGAUUGAUGAAAACAAAAGGUCAUGGAAGCUAAAAGGUAUGGUCAUACGUAUGUGGCCAACUUUUGAAGAAGAAAAAAUAACGGAAAAAAUUGUAAAGAAAGUUGUCGCACUGGAUAUCAUUGUAAUGGACGAAAAGGUAUGAUUGUUUUUACAUAUAUUCACCUCACCUAAACAAAUGCCUAACCAUUAUUUAAUAUCAGGGAGGUAACGCAAUCGAAAAGUCAUUAAAUUAUUGUUUUUUAACUAAUAACUUAUAUGUUUUUGGUUUAUUUCAAUUGGAAAUUCAGGGAAGAGAAAUUGAAGGUAACAUUAUGGGGAGAAAUGAAGGAUAUCUUUGACACUGAAAAACUGAAGACUAUGGUGAAUGAAAAACCAGUAGUAGUGAUAUCACUAGCAAAAGUUCGUAAAUUUCAGGGUAAUUACCUUAACUUUUUAAAUAUAUGAAAAUACUCUAUAUAUAAUAAUGAUUUUGUUAUCCUAUACAAAUAAAAAUUAUUUCAUAUUCUAUAAAACAGGAGCCCAGUUGUCCACUACAACCGGAACUAUGCUUUAUUUAAAUCCAGAUAUUCCAGAAGUUAUACAAAUGAAGAACAGGUAAAACUAUCUCACAAAUGUUUACAUACUCAACUUAAUAACAUGAUUUACUACUUAUAACCAAUUAUAAUCAGAUCCUUUAUGAUGUGUUUUACAUUGAUCAACCAAGUGAACAUCACGUUGAAAAUAGGAGAUUUUUCAAGAUUCAAAAAAGGCAACCUACUGGAUGUGCAAAAAUCUAUCAACCAAGAAACUCAUGAGGUACAUUUACUUCCCUUCAUUCUUAAGCAUAUUCAAAUUUCAUAUUAAUAUUUAUCUUGCAAAAAUCUAUUUUCAUAAAAAAAAUAAAUAUACAGGACUACAUCACAUGUUCAGCAAAAAUAGUUAAAGUUAAUGCAUCGCCAGAAUGGUACUACUUCGCUUGCAAAACUUGCAAGACAAAGGCGGAAGAAGUUCUCGAAGCAUAUCAAUGCUAUUGUGGAAUAAUUGAAGAAUCAAAUACAAUGCUACAGUAAGUAUAAAACCCUUUUUUUACUAAACACAAUGACAUAUAUCAUCUAAACAUGCAAUCUUAUGUGUGCUAAAUGUUUCAUUGUCAAAAAAUAUAUGUAUAAAAAAACAGGUAUAAGAUACAAAUCGAAAUAUCGGAUGGAAUAGGAAAUGCAAAAAUUACAGUUUUUGGUGAAAAAGCGAAAAAACUAAUGAAGGAUAAUACAGUAGCUGCAUUGCUAAGUAUGAAAGAAAAAGGAGAGGACAUCGUGAGAAACUACAUUCAAGCAAUCGAGAAUACUGAAGCAAUUUUUGACAUAAAGAUAACUGAAAAGAACAGGCAAUUUCCAAAAGGAUAUCUUACAUGCACAAACAUCUCAUUCGAAGGACAAGUAAAAGAAGGUACAACAAAAGACAACAUACAAAAGGUAAGACCUCAACCCACCCACACAAAAAAUCAAAUAUAUAUAUAUAGUCAAUAAGAUUAAAAUAUAAAAUUAUUUUUUUUUAUUAUUUAAUAUAUUGCAGGAAAACUUUGUCCCACCAACACCUAAGAAACACUCUCCUGAAGAAAUAGUCGACGUUGACAAACUUCCUCAAAAAGAUUAUACUAAGAAGAUAUGCAUUAAGCAAGAACCAGAGGUAAGAAUAUUCAGACAAAGAAAAACAAUAAACAAAAUUAUAAAUCAUAAAUUAAAUUUUACACCACUAAUUUCUCUUCAUUUUUAUAUGCAGGACUCGGACUAAAGGGGAAAAUGGAAUGCACCUAAGAAACAAGCUUUGCUACUAUAAUGUCGUUUCACAACUUUAUUUAGAUUUAUCACUCUAUUUUUGUUAAUCAGAUUUUUAUAUUGUUUACUGAUGAUUUAAUAAUGGAAUUGAUUUGAAUGUCUUCCUGCUAAUUUCCAUUAGUUAUUAAAGCAUAUGGAAGAAAAAAAAUUGGACUUAAAAAGGAACAAACUUAGAAAGAGCAAAGAAUGCUAUGAAAAAAAAAUAUUACAUAGAAAAGAGCAAAGAAAUAGUCUUUACCAUUUCAAUAGUUAUCUGGAUUUCUCCUCCAUUGUAAUAGCUCGAUCAUAAUGAAAUCAAAUGGAUUCAUUCUAAAUGUUGCUCCAAUUGUUGUUCAUAAAUUAUAAUGGAUUCAAGCAGCCAUGAUGAUGAUUGAAUGGAGAUGUGAUCGAGUUAAAUGCAGACUACUAUUAAUACCUAUAAUGGAUUCAUCCAUAAGCAUCCAUGACAAGUAACUAUUCAAAUUCAUCAAUCAAUUGAUCAAUUUCUGCCAAACCUAACCCUUGC